rnacentral:lncRNA from 1 species
GAAGAUCUCCAUCCUCCUCCAACAAGAAGCACACUGCAAUCCCUCCUAAAUCCAGUUAGUUGGAUGGGACCAGAAAGGUGCCUGAAACUGCUUAUCUGUGGGAGCUGCUCCUGUCAUUACAUCCCUGGUGAGGACAGCAGGCAUUGCACAAGAAGGAACCUGCAGUGAUAUUGAUGCUCCACUAGCUCCAACCAAGGUAACCAUUAGCACUUCAUGGACCACGGUUUUCAUUUCCCAUUGGCUUUGAAUUACUCAGCCUGGGACUGAGCUGAAAGGUAAUUUCAAGAGGCAAAAAGAGGUAGGGAGAAGCCCAACGUUUGUAUUUAAUUCUGACUUAAAUUCUGCCCUUUUUCAAGACUUGCAUCAAAGACAGACUGAUGGGGAUGCUGUUGUGGCAAGAGGAGAGAACCGGAUUGCCCACUGGAUGAGGAAUUGUGGAGCAGUCCUCAAGGAAACCCCAGUGGUCAGACCAAUCCAGCAGAGAUACAAUUGGCAAUACAUUCAGAAUAAGGACACUGAUAUUUACAACCAUGUAGUCUCCUCCAACCAUUUUUAUUUGAGGUUGCCCCCUCAAAUAGUGCUUAAGCCAAGAGGGUGCAGGAAUGUUUGGAGUUCUCCCCACGAAUUCCUGUUUCGUCUCUCUCCUUCAGUUUGAAGUGGUGCUUAUAGACAGAAGCUUCACAGGAAGGAAGCAAAUGCCCCUAUGUCUAGAAUAUCCCCUUUAAUGGGUUUAAACUCUCUUUCUGGACUGCCAUAGUUAUCCUCUAGGAUGGUUGCAACACUGCAUCAUCCAUCCUUCACUCCACCAUCACUAUAUACUUUCAGGCCAGGCACUCAAAUGCCAACGAAUCACCUGUUCUUACUUUUCUUCUUCCCAGAUCUUUUUCUUUAUCAGUGGACCCAAAAUUCUGUGCAACUCUCCACCGUGCCAGCUUUGUACAAAUGGGAAUCCAUAGCAAAAGUGAGCAUAACCUGCAACAAAGUGAAGUCCAAAUCAAACAAGUAAACCAAACAAACAAACAAGAAACCCACAUAUUUUUCAGCAAUGGGAGAGAAGCUCUCAAGGGGAGGAAGCCUGGCUCGCCAGCAGGGGAUGGUAAAGCAAACUGCUGUGCUGCUGCUGGCCUCACACCCCUCCUGCCUCCGCCACCAGCUCUGGGAUCAGCACGUGCUGCAGCAGUAGGGCACCCAGCCCCACAUCACUGCCUUGAGACAGAGAUCUGUUACUGAAGGUAGAAGAUU